AGCUGUUGGAGCAGACUCGGUUCCGAGGGUGUGGCCGUCGUGGGCAGAGGAGAGCUUUGGCUAAUUUUUCUCUGGAAGUGAUUUUAGUGCGCAAAAGUGCGAUCAGACUGCAUCAGUCCCACCUCCCGGUCCUGCCUGCCGAAGGGGCCUAUAUGGAAAGCACAGAGGCAGUGGCCACAGGGGAGCCCAGAGCUGCGGGCACCCUCGCAGGGCAGUGAGCGGUCCCAUGGGCUGUCACCCUCAGUCGGAGUGGGCCCCCGGCUGAAGCAAGGGCAAUGUUAGAACCCUAACCUGAGCCCGAAGAGCAGAGUGUGCUAACAUCUCCCAAGCUGGGAAGACUGCCGGCCACCCCUCAGGCAGACAUCUAUACGUGAUACUCUUUGUUCUUGGAAGCAAGGAGAUGAGUGGCAGGUUCAGACAGGAAGUAGAAAUACCUCUCUCUGUCCCUCUUGCUAAGCACCACACAGCUAACCCCAUGGACAUUGCGUGUAAAGCAGCUGGAGAAAGCUGAGAGGCGGAGGUGGAUGGGGACCAGCGAGGCUCCUGGGCACCGGAGGAACGCUUGGGAAUACGGCCCUGGGUUUCCUGUGGCCACGUAUACCCUGAAAUCGGCUCUGGAGAAGCUGACCUCCUGGGGGCGCCAGUAGGAGCAGGCAAAAAAAAAAAAAAGGAAGAAGAAAGAAGCCCAAGAAAACCCUCUUUUCUCUAACCAAAGUGCUAGGAAGGGGCAGCCUCAAUAAGCAAUUGAAGUUAUGCUUGAGAGAGAUGGAAGCACAGUUCCUAAAAUAGCAGAAGAUAGGAAAGUGAAAAUUUUAGAUUAAAAAUGCAACAAUAAUAAAAACCAGUGAAUGUGUGAAACAGGACGGAGGAGACAGAACAGGGUCCUGUGAAAUCGGAGGUGGACUGGUGGGCCUCCCCCACUGGGACACCGGGGGCCAGCCACAAGGAGGACAGAGCAGUGGACUGCAGCGGGAGAGGGCAGGGGUGUCGUUGGACUUCCGGAAAGAGGAGGGCCGGGCCGUUUGCACAUGUGCUCAAGGGAAGGUGCCUCGACAUUCCCCAGAGUUGGUGGAAGAACCUAUUGGAGCAGAUCCAAACAGAAUUAGCCCAAAGAAGCCUAUGUCAAGAUGGGGUGUGUGUGUCUGAGACAAACUGGACAUGGGAGACCGGCCGGGGAUCUUGGACGCAGGGAGGGGCGCACCUGCCUACAGGGAAGCAGCGAGGGUCACGGCCGAGUCCUCGCCCUCUCUGAGACCAGCAUGCUGUCAGCACCCUCUGUGCCCUAGACCUCGGGGAGGUCAGGGCCUUGUCACAGAGGAGAGGUGAAGAGCGCACCACCAGCAGAAAGAAGAGCUGGAGGGCUCCAGAGGCAGGCCAGUGGUGGGAGAGCUCAGACUGCAGGCAGAGCGUGGGUGCGGGUGCGGGCGCAGAGGACCCCCGGGUUCCCCCCUCCUCAGCGUCCUUAGUUGUGUUUGACAGCUCAAGUAAAGCUUGAACCCCGAGUGUCUCCAUGUCCCCGAGCGUAUACAGAUGCCCACGAGGGAGGCCAGGUGUGUAGCAGGCCAGCCCUGCUCCGUGUGAGCCAGCCUGUCGGCACCAGCAGGCUGCCAGUCACAGGAAGGACCCGCUCUCCGAGGCGGUUCACUGCCAGCGGCCCAUGUCUGGCGCCUUUCAGGCAGGGGCCUGAGAGCUUCCUUCUGAGGCCUGAGGUGUUGUCAGGGUAUCUCGUGUGGCCCUUUGGCUCCCAUGGCCUGAGUCUCUGUCCUGAACUCAGCACUUCCCUGAAUCGUCCUUGCGGGCAGCAGAGAGCAGUCUGAGAGUCUGCAGCCCAGACGCCUCCCCACAGCCCUCCUCCGUCCACUCCUGGGUUUGUGGGCCGGUUGCCCAAGGUCGUGGGCACUGGCUCUUUCCGCUGUCUAAGGCACUCCGAGGAGGAGAGGUGGGAGCCAGUGUGCUCAGUCGUCACCGUCAGAGACACCGAUGGAGUGAAAGCCACAGAGCCACCGGCACGGCAGGACGGGAAGCGACGGUUGGAAAACCUGAGGCCCACCUUGAACCACCAGCAAAGGACCACUUCCCCACACAUCGGGAAAACGCUGUCCCCAUUCUCUGCAGAACGUCUGAAGGAGGCGUCGAGGUUGAGCUGCAGCUGUUGUCCCGUAAGAAAGAAACGCCAGCCCCGGGCUGAAGGAACGGGGCGUAAUUGUGUUGUGGUGAGCCGGGGGAUGGCAGAGUCCACAGUGCAAAGCACGCUGGAUGUCACUUUCCAAUCAACCGGCGGGAUGCAGCGGGAGAGCAGAGGCGGAGGACGGCCCUCUCUCCCCUUCCCACUUGGCAAGCAGAAGCAGAAGCAAGAGACACCACAUCUCGUUCUGUAUUCUUUCCUCAACAUAAUUGUCAGGUUUGCGGAAUGGCUCAGAGUCAUCCGUAACCAGUCUAAAACAGAUCUCCCCUCGAGGCCAAAGACUGCAGUUGUGUCGAGUGGAGACGUGUAGUGUGUGAACGACACAGGGUGUCCGCACGAGGGCCAUCUCUCCGUCUCUGAGUACACAGCGCCCAGGCAGGUGGACUGUAUUCACACCCAGCCAGUGCUCACCACAUUCGUCAUUGUCACCAUGUCACCGUCAGAAAGACGCAGUGUGCAUCCACCGGGCCUAGCUUGCCGCCCGUUGCAGUCCCGGGAGGAGACUUCGCCAGUCAACUCCAGGAGAGGAGGUGCACGUAGCCGGUCUUACCAACAAACAUGAAACAUUGCAUGGAAAUAAAGAACCCCAUCUGGAGGAAAUAGAGCCUAAGAAUAGAAGAACACUUCCAAGUGUGUUUCCUGAGAUGGAAGAACUAAAAAACACUAACUCAGUAAAUGCUGAGGCUACAACAGAGACGUGAAAGGAAGUGUCAGAGCAACAGACCCCGUGUCCUGACAAAGCAAAGGGGCCGGAAGACGGCUGGGAAAGAGGAAGUCCUGGUGCCGCCUCCACCCGGCACAGCCACGCCGGCCUGGCCCUCUGUGCACACGGAUACCCGUGCCCUCGUACACGCUACAUGCUCUGCUUCCUCCUUGCCAUGGCCUGCAGCGAGCGGAGAGAACCUUAACGGGUAUCUGGAUGCCACAGUGGCCACCGUAGCCUUCUGACAGCCGGGAUCGCACUGGGGUGUUUCAGCUGACCCGGGAUCAGAACCCUGACCGGCCCUGUUGCUCCAGCGUCGCAGAACAGCCACUACCGCCACCUACAGUCCACGUUUUGCAGAAGGUGCUUCUUGCUCUGGGUGCCCAUGAAAAACCCACAGAAUGGCACUGUGUACGGACCUCACUGUGUCCUGCCGGGCGCCCCGUGAGCUCUGUCUGAGAAGUCCAUGUGUAGUCUGGGGGCCUCCGGUCACCGGUUCCAACUCUGCACGUCCUCCUGGUGCACUGCUGGGGCCUCACUGCCAGCGGGACAGAUGACGGGACACAGGAGGGAGUGAGGCGUGGGGGGGUGCGCACCGACCUCCGUGGAGCUCAGCUGUCUGCCUUCCCCGUGCCGGGCAGGAGCCGACAGCCGGUCCUGCCAGUGCCCCUCACUGCUGGCCACCAGCAUGCACAGUGGGGUCACAGUCACCGCUGGCAGGGUGACGACUGGAGCCUGUGACUGCACGCGUCGGCCUCUUGGGAUUCCGUUCCGCGGACUCCCUACUCAUGCCCUUGGGCCCGUUGCUCCCCAUUCGGAUAGCUGUCCCAUCGUCCAUUUCCAAGAGGGCCUCGUCUCUCCCUGAACGGCCCCCGGCCUGGUCCUUGCAUCUGCCAUCUCUUCUUCGGCUCUGCUUGUUUGUAGUUUCGUUCUCUCAUCGGAGAAGCUGAUCACUCUACUGCAGCCAUAUCUGCUUCAAAAACACUGAGCUCAAUUUUACUCGUGCCCCUGAAUUAGUUUGCUGGGCGCGCCUAAAUGAGGCCGCUCACUCUGCUCUCUGGCUAUCCCUGACUAAGCCCUUUGUUUUCAAGUUCCGAGCCUUUUGGGGUACUGAGCGGUAAUACCUGCAGGCAGGCAGACCAGGGGCCCAUGUUUAACAGCUAGGAACUGAGGGUGCCACUGAGACCUGGACUUCAGAGAGAAGGUGGUGACCGUCAGUGUGAGUCCAGGGACACUUGGGGGACAGCGGUGGGUAGUGGAGUCCAGCUGGCCUUCUGGGGCCUGGGCCAGCCCUGGGUGGGGUGGGGCACACUAACGGUGCCCAGUGGUGCCCCAGCAGUGUGGGGUCCUUAAAAAGAAAUACAGCUUGGGGCCAGCAGGUGGCAUGGUUGUUAAGGCCCUAGGCUCUCACGUGGCCGA